rnacentral:lncRNA from 1 species
GGAAUAAACCUUACUGACACCUUGCUCUGGACAUUUAACAUUCAGAACUGCAAUGGAAUAAAUCUCUGUGGAUUCAAGCCCCUAAGGAAAUGAACACAGGGCCAAUACACUCACUCACUACAGCUGCCGAUAAGCUUCUGAUUGCUAUCACCCAUGUUCUUGGGUCACCAUGUUCCGCCAUGUUUGAAUUCCUUUCCGCUGCCUUCUACUGGAUCUUCCUCUCCCUGACUGAUUUUCAAUAACCAGCCCAACCUCAGAGUUUUUCUAGUUUUAGGGGCUGAAUCCCCAUAGUUCACCCCUGCCUGAAACUGACAAGUUUAGGAGGUAAAUCCCCAGAUUUCCAUUACUGUGUAGACCAGGGUUUCCCCCCAUUGCCUCUGUACACAGAUUUUUGUCUGCUAACUAGUAUUCAAAGCAACCAUCUAAAACCCUCAAGCCUUCACUCUCUCAAUUGUUGGUCCACAGUAGCUACCCCUGCUGGGUCAUAGGAAGUACAAAAAGCACAAUGUAGCAGCUUGCAGGGUUAAAUGUGGGGCCAGCUUCUUUUGAACCCUAUGGAAGUUAGCUUCUGCAUGCCUCUCUUCAAGGUUUUAUCUGGUGCAUCAAUACAGCUCUGUGAUCACUGGCUAUCCCACCCACAGAGACUUCAGCAAACUGCAUGGGUAGGCACAACAGGUAUACCCAGAAACAUCCCCCUGCACUCCCUCUUAAUUACUCAGGCUCAAUUCACCUAUGUAUGUAACUUGUGUUCAUUUCCUUCAUAACCUCAUUAUUUAUCUACUGCAUGGCUCAAUUCUCUCUGCUGCAAUUA